rnacentral:rRNA from 1 species
GAUGAACGCUGGCGGCGUGCUUAACACAUGCAAGUCGAACGGAAAGGCCCAAGCUUGCUUGGGUACUCGAGUGGCGAACGGGUGAGUAACACGUGGGUGAUCUGCCCUGCACUUCGGGUUAAGCCUGGGAAACUGGGUCUAAUACCGGAUAGGACGAUGGUUUGGAUGCCAUUGUGGAAAGUUUUUUCGGUGUGGGAUGAGCUCGCGGCCUAUCAGCUUGUUGGUGGGGUAAUGGCCUACCAAGGCGUCGACGGGUAGCCGGCCUGAGAGGGUGUACGGCCACAUUGGGACUGAGAUACGGCCCAGACUCCUACGGGAGGCAGCAGUGGGGAAUAUUGCACAAUGGGCGCAAGCCUGAUGCAGCGACGCCGCGUGGGGGAUGACGGCCUUCGGGUUGUAAACUCCUUUCGCUAGGGACGAAGCGUUUUUGUGACGGUACCUGGAGAAGAAGCACCGGCUAACUACGUG